rnacentral:rRNA from 1 species
UGGGGAAUAUUGGACAAUGGGGGCAACCCUGAUCCAGCAAUACCGCGUGUGUGAAGAAGGCCUGAGGGUUGUAAAGCACUUUCAAUUGUGAAGAAAAGUUAGCGGUUAAUAACCGUUAGCCUUGACAUCAACUUUAGAAGAAGCACCGGCUAACUCCGUGCCAGCAGCCGCGGUAAUACGGAGGGUGCAAGCGUUAAUCGGAAUUACUGGGCGUAAAGCGUGCGUAGGCGGUUUAUUAAGUCAGAUGUGAAAGCCCCGGGCUUAACCUGGGAACUGCAUUUGAAACUGGUAAAUUAGAGUAUGGUAGAGGAAAGUGGAAUUUCUGGUGUAGCGGUGAAAUGCGUAGAUAUCAGAAGGAACAUCAAUGGCGAAGGCAGCUUUCUGGACCAAUACUGACGCUGAGGUACGAAAGCGUGGGUAGCAAACAGGAUUAGAUACCCUGGUAGUCCACGCCGUAAACGAUGAUAACUAGCCGUUGGGGGGAUUUACCCUUUAGUGGCGAAGCUAACGCGUUAAGUUAUCCGCCUGGGGAGUACGGCCGCAAGGUUA